AAAAAGACAAACCCUGAUUUCCGUGUCCAACGUUUGACCGUACGUCUUAUUUAAAAAAUUAUAAAAAAAAUUAAAAAGACAAGUCACGUAUAAAAUAUUAAUCAUGUUUUAUCAUCUAACAACAAUAAAAAUACGAAUUAUAAAAAAAUUUCAUAUAAGACGGACAGUAAAAAUUGGACACGGAAACCCAUGGUUUGCCUUUUU
rnacentral:pre_miRNA from 1 species